rnacentral:rRNA from 1 species
UACGGAGGGAGCUAGCGUUGUUCGGAAUUACUGGGCGUAAAGCGCACGUAGGCGGCUUUGUAAGUUAGAGGUGAAAGCCCGGGGCUCAACUCCGGAACUGCCUUUAAGACUGCAUCGCUUGAAUCCAGGAGAGGUGAGUGGAAUUCCGAGUGUAGAGGUGAAAUUCGUAGAUAUUCGGAAGAACACCAGUGGCGAAGGCGGCUCACUGGACUGGUAUUGACGCUGAGGUGCGAAAGCUAGGGGAGCAAACGGG